rnacentral:tRNA from 1 species
GCACUGGUGGCUCAGUGGUAGAGCGUCGCACUCGUAAUGCGAAGGUCGUGGGUUCAAACCCCAUUCGGUGCA